GACGAACGCUGGCGGCGUGCCUAAUACAUGCAAGUAGAACGCUGAAGGAGGAGCUUGCUCUUCUGGAUGAGUUGCGAACGGGUGAGUAACGCGUAGGUAACCUGCCUGGUAGCGGGGGAUAACUAUUGGAAACGAUAGCUAAUACCGCAUAACAUUGACUAUUGCAUGAUAGUCAAUUGAAAGGUGCAAAUGCACCACUACCAGAUGGACCUGCGUUGUAUUAGCUAGUUGGUGGGGUAACGGCUCACCAAGGCUACGAUACAUAGCCGACCUGAGAGGGUGAUCGGCCACACUGGGACUGAGACACGGCCCAGACUCCUACGGGAGGCAGCAGUAGGGAAUCUUCGGCAAUGGACGGAAGUCUGACCGAGCAACGCCGCGUGAGUGAAGAAGGUUUUCGGAUCGUAAAGCUCUGUUGUAAGAGAAGAACGAGUGUGAGAGGGAAAGUCACAC
rnacentral:rRNA from 1 species